GGGUGAUUGCAGUUGGGACACGUGCAUGGCGAUGGCUGGCGGAAGCCCUGCGACUUGACACAUGCCUUGUCUGAGAAUGGGUACAGCAGGAUGACGGCGCACACAGGCUGGGGCACCAUCGCCAGCAUGUCAUCGUCCAGGCCGUACACGUCAUGAAUGGUCCAGCUUGCAGGAACGCCAAGUCCACUCAUGAACUGCCGAGACAACCAGAAUUAGCAGGAUAAAGAUUUCCAAUGGCGAGAGGAUGCCGCGGCGACUGGUGAGGGAAAGAAGCCAUUCAUCAAGACUCACUGUCACAAACAAGAACUCGUAAAUGGUUGCUGUACCUAGUAGACAAGAUAAGAAAAGAGCUUCACGUGAAAGUAAAUCAAGGAAACCGACAGGAAAAUAAUGUAAUAAAUAAAAAAUGCCUAUCAUGAUGAACUAAGUUCUCGUAAACAUUAAUCAUAAAAUAUUACAUCCUUACACACACACACACACACACACACACACACACACACACACACACACACACACACACACACACACAUUAAAAUAACAAUAAGAAAAUAACAACAGCUAAACUUCAU